rnacentral:rRNA from 1 species
GAUGAACGUUGGCGGCGUGCUUUAGGCAUGCAAGUCGAGCGAGAGUUAUUUUUCUGAAGGGCUUGCCUGGAAGAAGAAUAAAUCUAGCGGCGAACGGGUGAGUAACAAGUGGAUAUUUCCCUCGAAGUUCGGAAUAGCCCUGGGAAACUGGGAGUAAUACCGGAGAUGUAGUAAUACCAAAGCCGCAAGGCGCUUCGAGAUGAGUCUGCUCGCUAUCAGCUAGUUGGUAAGGUAAUGGCUUACCAAGGCUAAGACGGCUAACUGGUCUGAGAGGAUGACCAGUCACAUGGGGACUGAGACACGGCCCUGACACCUACGGGUGGCAGCAACUAGGAAUCUUGCACAAUGGGGGAAACCCUGAUGCAGCGACGCCGCGUGGAGGACGAAGGCCGAAAGGUUGUAAACUCCUUUUGCAUGGGAACAAUGCGAGUGUACCAUGAGAAUAAGCCACUGCUAACUUCGUGCCAGCAGCCGCGGUAAAAC